AUUGAACGCUGGCGGAAUGCUUUACACAUGCAAGUCGAACGGCAGCAUAGAGAGCUUGCUCUCUGAUGGCGAGUGGCGAACGGGUGAGUAAUAUAUCGGAACGUACCCAGUAAUGGGGGAUAACGAAUCGAAAGAUUCGCUAAUACCGCAUACGCCCUACAGGGGAAAGCGGGGGAUCGUAAGACCUCGCGUUAUUGGAGCGGCCGAUAUCUGAUUAGCUAGUUGGUGAGGUAAAGGCUCACCAAGGCGACGAUCAGUAGCCGGUCUGAGGGCACAACCAGCCACACUGGAACUGAGACACGGUCCAGACUCCUACGGGAGGCAGCAGUGGGGAAUUUUGGACACUGGGGGCAACCCUGAUCCAGCCAUUCCGCGUGAGUGAAGAAGGCCUUCGGGUUGUAAAGCUCUUUCGCAAGGGAAGAAAACUUAUCUACUAAUACUAGGUGAGGCUGACGGUACCUUGAUAAGAAGCACCGGCUAACUACGUGCCAGCAGCCGCCGUAA
rnacentral:rRNA from 1 species